rnacentral:misc_RNA from 1 species
UUAUCACAUUAGAAGAGCUAGUGAAAGAAGAAAAAGCCUAGUAGCUAAAGCCACAAAAAAGAAAAAGCGGGAAAAAGUUGUUGUGACUACAUCGAGAAAGCCAGCAAAAGAAGAAGAAGAAGAACCUAGUUGUUAGCUGCCUCCGUUAUUGAGAAGAUAAAAACAUGGCUAUGUAUUAUCUAUUGUGCCUGUGUAUUAUUGAUGGCUAUGUAUUAUUGAAACGGACUAUGGUUAUGGGCCUAGAUUCAGUUUAGAGUUCUUUUAGUGCCUUUUAGCAUGUUCUUUUAAUUCUAUUUGUAUAAUUAAAAAUAAAUAUAAUUUAUCAUUAUAUUAAAUACAUAGUUAUUCAUAAUGAUUUAUAAAAUUUAGUUUAAACUAUUUUAAACUAUGUUUAAUAAGGUUUUAUUAAAUUAAAUAUGUAGUAAAAAAAUUAAAAUUACAAAGCAAAUACAUUUGAUUGAAAAAUAAAAUUAAUACAAUGCAUUUUAAUGAUAUUUACAUAACAUACCUGGACACCAGUGUCUAAAUUUUGAUCCAUCCCCAUAUUUUCCAUUUAGGAAGUCUAUAAGUAACACAUGGAUGUAUCCAUUUCCAACACCCAUACCGGAGUCCAAGUAACAUAGCUCAAACUUAUAGGAUUGAUUAUUCUUAUACAGUCUCUCAUGUGGCCAAACUUGCUUCUAUUCACUUAUUCAUCUCAUUGUGAGCUACUUAUGAUUGCCCUUACACCAACUCGAUGUUAGAAAUGCAAUACUUCAUGGAGAUCUCCAAGAGAAGGUUUAUAUAAAGCAACCACCUGGUUUAUUGCUUGGGGGAGUUCACUAAAGUUCUCACGCUUCAUAAAUCCUUAUAUGGCUCGAAAUAGAAUAUAUGUGCUUGUUUUUGAGAUUCAAUGAGGUAGCUCAGGAGUCUGGUAUGCAAAAGAAUAAGUGUGAUCACUCUAUGUUUUAUCAACAUUCUGAAGCUAGUCUGAUAGAUGAUAAUAUUAUCAUCACUAGAAGUGACACUAUAGGCAUCUCAUCUAUCAAACCCUUUCCUUGAAAGAUGAAGUAUGUUCUUGACUUAUUGGCAAAAUUAAGAAAACAAGGUGCUAACUACUAAACCUUGUUGUGCACCAAUCGCACCUAAUUUGCAAUUACUAGGGAGGAUGGUGAAUUGUUUAAGAAGCUGAAAGUUUAUAUAAGAUUAGUUAGCAAGUUGAAAUAUCUUAUAAUGACUUAUCCUAACUCUGCAUAUCUGUUAGUAGGGUGACUUGGUUUAUGUCCUCUCUCACUGGAUAAUUUUGGAAUAAAUUUGGUGUUAUUUGAAAAGAGCUUUAGAAUGUGGCAUAUGGCAUAGAAAUCAUAGACAUUCUUCAAAUGCAGAUUGUGCGGGUUCCAAAAUUGACAGAUCUACUAUGAGAUAUUGUAUUUUCAUUAAAGGAAACUUGAUGUCAUUAAAAAGUAAGAAAUUGAGUGUAUCCUCCAAACAUAAUGUGCAGGUUUCAAAUUUGACAAGAGAUCUCCUACGGGAUAUUAUAUUUUUGUUGGAGGUGGUGUCAUAGAAAAGUUAAAAACAUAGUAUAGUCUCCCAAUAUAGUUUUCAAUUAGAAUAUAGAACUAUGGCACAAUUUAUGUAUGUGGUAAUGCAAAUACAUUAGUUAAUUAAGUGAAGUUGGUCUUAAGACCUUGUUACCUAUGAAAUUGUGAUAUGAUAGUCAAGUUACUCUCCAUAUUGUCUCUAAUCUUAUGUUUCAUGAAUAAAUCAAACACAUCAAGAUUAAUUGUCACUCCGUGUGUAAAAAGAUCCAACAAUUCAUCUCAACAAGAAUAUCAAGACUAGAGAAUGGUUAGGAAUCAUCUUUGUAAUAUGGCUUGUGGGAAUAUAUCCCACAUUAG